CGUGGAGAGGCGUGCAGCACAUCAUUGUCUUCACGGCCACCCGGGGGUGGUGUUUUUACUCCAGGAGCUGCUUUUUCCAAAAACAAACUGCUGGACAGACUCAACAAACAUAGCAUUGAAUUUAGUGUCAGAUGUAAACAUUUAAAUUUAUUCCAGGGGUGUUAAAAAAAAUUGCAUGAAUUAGCCCUGCAUUUGAUUUUGAAUUGCCGGAAGAAGGGAGAGUAUGAAAAGUCUAAAAUGUUUACAUUAAAUCUGAGAUUCAAUGGUAAAUACACUGGCUAGUUUGCACUAACAAAUUUCAAAUCUUGAUUGUGGAAAGGAUUACACUUACUGAGAUUUUUUUUCCCCAAACCAUGAUAAUUUGCUCUAAAUAAGUGGUAGUGAGAUGGCAAGACAAAGUGAGGGGUAUAUAUCAGCGAUUGCACAACUGAAACAGUCUACUUGUAGAGGGAGAAGUGGGUUAAUUUACCUUGCCCUAAGAACCACCUCCUCACCAAUACUUUGCUCUGCCUCUUGACUGUGCCUUAGCUUUGUAACACUGCACUUGUGGAUAGUUAUUAUUACAUGCUGCCUUGUUCCUCGGAUAGUUCUCUCAAGAGCUGGAUUAAUGGGACUUGGGGGUUUUGGAGUCAUUGCUUGAGAAUUCAAUAAAGAGUUGCCGAUCA